GGGCGAAUAGCUCAGCGGCGGAGCACUUGCCUUACACGCAAGGGGUCGCAGGUUCAAAUCCUGCUUCGCCCACCA
rnacentral:tRNA from 2 species